AGAGUUAGAUCCUGGCUCAGGACGAACGCUGGCGGCGCGCCUAACACAUGCAAGUCGAACGGAGCUGAGAGGAGCUUGCUUUUCUUAGCUUAGUGGCGAACGGGUGAGUAACGCGUGAGUAACCUGCCCUGGAGUGGGGGACAACAGUUGGAAACGACUGCUAAUACCGCAUAAGCCCACGAUCCGGCAUCGGAUUGAGGGAAAAGGAUUUAUUCGCUUCAGGAUGGACUCGCGUCCAAUUAGCUAGUUGGUGAGGUAACGGCCCACCAAGGCGACGAUUGGUAGCCGGACUGAGAGGUUGAACGGCCACAUUGGGACUGAGACACGGCCCAGACUCCUACGGGAGGCAGCAGUGGGGGAUAUUGCACAAUGGGGGAAACCCUGAUGCAGCGACGCCGCGUGGAGGAAGAAGGUUUUCGGAUUGUAAACUCCUGUCGUUAGGGACGAUAAUGACGGUACCUAACAAGAAAGCACCGGCUAACUACGUGCCAGCAGCCGCGGUAAAACGUAGGGUGCAAGCGUUGUCCGGAAUUACUGGGUGUAAAGGGAGCGCAGGCGGACCGGCAAGUUGGAGGUGAAAACUAUGGGCUCAACCCAUAAAUUGCUUUCAAAACUGCUGGCCUUGAGUAGUGCAGAGGUAGGUGGAAUUCCCGGUGUAGCGGUGGAAUGCGUAGAUAUCGGGAGGAACACCAGUGGCGAAGGCGACCUACUGGGCACCAACUGACGCUGAGGCUCGAAAGCAUGGGUAGCAAACAGGAUUAGAUACCCUGGUAGUCCAUGCCGUAAACGAUGAUUACUAGGUGUUGGAGGAUUGACCCCUUCAGUGCCGCAGUUAACACAAUAAGUAAUCCACCUGGGGAGUACGACCGCAAGGUUGAAGCUCAAAGGAAUUGACGGGGGCCCGCACAAGCAGUGGAGUAUGUGGUUUAAUCCGAAGCAACGCGAAGAACCUUACCAGGUCUUGACAUCCGAUGCAUAGUGCAGAGAUGCAUGAAGUCCUUCGGGACAUCGAGACAGGUGGUGCAUGGUUGUCGUCAGCUCGUGUCGUGAGAUGUUGGGUUAAGUCCCGCAACGAGCGCAACCCUUAUUGCCAGUUACUACGAAAGAGGACUCUGGCGAGACUGCCGUUGACAAAACGGAGGAAGGUGGGGAUGACGUCAAAUCAUCAUGCCCUUUAUGACCUGGGCUACACACGUACUACAAUGGCGUUUAACAAAGAGAAGCAAGACCGCGAGGU
rnacentral:rRNA from 1 species